rnacentral:rRNA from 1 species
AUUGAACGCUGGCGGCAGGCCUAACACAUGCAAGUCGAGCGGAUGAAGGGAGCUUGCUCCUGGAUGCAGCGGCGGACGGGUGAGUAAUGCCUAGGAAUCUGCCUGGUAGUGGUGGACAACGUUUCUUAAGGAACGCUAAUACUGCAUACGACCUACGGGAGAAAGCAGGAGACCGUCGGGCGUUUGGCGAUCAGAUGAGCCUAGGUCGGAGUAGCUAGUUGGUGCGGUAAUGGCUCAACAAGGCGACGAUCCGUAACUGGUCUGAUAGGAUGAUCAGUCACACUGGAACUGAGACACGGUCCCGAAUCCUACAGGAGGCAGCAGUGGGGAAUAUUGGACAAUGGGCGAAAGCCUGAUAUAGCCAUGCCGCGCGUGUGAAGAAGGUCUUCGGAUUGUAAAGCACUUUAAGUUGGGAGGAAGGGUUGUAGAUUAAUACUCUGCAAUUUUGACGUUACCGACAGAAUAAGCACCGGCUAACUCUGUGCCAGCCGCCGCAGUAACAC